UAGUGUAAUGGGUCAGCACGGCAGACCGGAUAUCUGUAAGUGCGGGUUCGAGUCCCGC
rnacentral:tRNA from 1 species